GCCAGCGCGUACAGGAGGAGGAGGAGUAAGGGAGAGAGAUGGAGGAGAGAGAGUGCAAACAAUGUCAUUCUGUUCAGGAGGCAAUGCUGCAGUCAACUUUGCAGUGCCAUGAAAGCACAUCACCAGCAACCAAGAGGCUCAGAGUGAGUGCAGAGAAGUUUUCCUCCUCUCCACCUCGGGUGAGACGCCGUGCAGGACUCAUCUGUAGGUCAUCAGUCUGUCGACGGGCUGCAGUGGUGAGCAGCACCAAUGAUGUACAGUUUGGUGCUUUAGAGAUGCUCAGGCAGCCAGAUUGAGACCAUAUUGUAGCAGGUGAGUUUUGCUGAGCUGGUUCUGCCGCUGCAGCUAGAAUCUGCCUAGUGAUCAACUUCCACUACAGCAGUGAUGAACUGGCAUAACCCCCCUCUAGUAAAAACCCCAGCUUGCAUCAGAGCAGCUCUGCAUAAUUAGCACUCAUGGAUGGUGAUGAUUCUGCACAUUUGAUACGGUUAAUGUGUCAGUAGCUAAAUAGAAUGAAAUGUACAUUUGUCUAUACAUAUUUAUAUCUCUGGUGGAUCAGAUGAAGGAUUAUUUAUCUGCUACAUUAAUGAGUUGCUUUUAAAUUCAUAUUUGACAUUAAACAUCAAAGAUAUAGGAAAAUAUUAAUAUUUCACAGGUUUUCCAUAUCUUUGCUAAUGCAUGCUCUAAGAUGUUCACAGUCAUGUAAUUCAUACUGAUGGGCUUCAUCUGCUGCUGUACAAGAUGAUUUGAUGAAUCAGCAGCUUUCAUUAGAAUGCUGUACUGGUGCCCGGUUACAGCUUCUGUAAACUACUAUUUCUGCGUUGGUAAAAAGAAAACAGGACUACUUGCUAAUAAGAGUAAUAAUGAAAAGCAAUAUUGUUGCUGAUUUUAAGAUAUUAAUUUUACUUGCAUUCAGAUUCUACUAGUAAAGACUGAGGUUUUGGCAUUAGCCAGAAAAGACAGACAACAUUGUGAAGUGAGAGUGAGGAGUGUUGAAAAGAGAAAGAAAUCACUGCCUGCAGGCAAACUGUACUUCACUACUGUACCUUAUGAUUUAGAACAUAGCAGAGAUGAUCUGACAACUCAGUCCUAUUCAAAAAUGCUCUUCUCUUUAAGACUUUUUCAGUCAGUUGCCACUAUCCCUCACCACCUCUGCUUUUGUAAAGAAAUCUACUUCACCAUGUCACACAGAGAACCAAUCUUAAUGCAUAUUCAAACAAUAACUCAUUCAUGUGUUGAAGUGCUCAAAGUAAAGGCAGUGUAUGCUAACCGAUUGAAGCAGGCUGAGUCAUGCUGUUUUUUCUUCUUCUGGGUUUCCCCCCUCUCUGAUCCUCUGCUCCUCCCCCUCUGGUCUAGGAGCAGUCCGGCUGUUGGUGGCGUGUUGGAACAUGCCUUGACUUGUUGUACUGCCUGAGUCAGGCAGAGAGAGAGACAGCCACAGAGAGAGAGGGAGAGAGGGAGAGAGGGAGGGAGAGAGAAGAUGCUAGUGGUCAACAGUUUGCCAGUGUGAAAUGACCCACACAAAGAGAGAGCCCUGCUGCACCAUGGACAGACUCCUGUUGAUAUCAACACCAGAGUGCACUCCCUGAAGACGAGCGUGGAUGGAGGAGCUCUACUGCUGCCUCGCUGCUUGAGCUUUUGGCACGGGACCACGCCACCCCCGGGAUCUUUUAGUGUGAGGCCAUUGCCUUCCAACCACCACGACCACCAGGAAGCUGGACAUGAAAAGUGUGAGCGUCCGUAGUGCCAGACUCACAGGUGGAAGUGUACAGCAAAUACCAGCCAGGAUCCUGCUCAGGAAAGGCAGGCAGAGGGACAGGCAGAGGGACAGGCGGUUGGACGCGGCUGCUGUGGGUGUUUCUCUGGCAGUGUCUUAGCUGGUUGUUGUGAGGAGUGAGAACGAAGCAAUCAGCAAGUAUACUGCCGCAGAAAUUCUUCGCAAUAGAGGCCCUGGGAUCAGAGCCAUCACGACAGGAAAGGACAAAAUGCGUAUCAGCAUUGUAGCAAACAUGGAUCCUGCUGCUACUGUAAGUUUUUACAUGUUUCCGGACAAUGACAUUAACAACGGCUGAGGACCUGAUAAAGAAUUAACUAAAGAUAGAUCACCUGAGUGCAUGGCCUUUUUGUUAACAGCCUCUACAAUAUUUACGAUUGGAUCAAAACAUCAAACUUCUUUACAAUGUGUUGUACUUUUGUGGUCCUCUGCUGCCAUCUUGUGAAUGGAAGCAACCUCCCAGCAUGCUUUUGUUCAUUUAACACUGCAGCAAUUUGUAAAAAAA